rnacentral:rRNA from 1 species
UAUCUCUGUAGAGUCUGCAUAUCAAUAAGCGGAGGAAAAGAAACUAACAAGGAUUCCCCUAGUAACGGCGAGUGAAGCGGGAAGAGCUCAAAUUUGAAAUCUUCAAGGUCUGACCUUGACGAAUUGUAGUUUAAAGAAGUGUUUUCGGUUAGAGGAGUAGUAAAAGUUCUUUGGAAUAGGACAUCAUAGAGGGUGAGAAUCCCGUAUUUGACUAUUCUUUCUAGCUUUGUGAUACACUUUCAAAGAGUCGGAUUGUUUGGGAAUACAGUCCAAAAUGGGUGGUAAAUUUCAUCUAAAGCUAAAUAUUGGCGAGAGACCGAUAGCGAACAAGUACCGUGAGGGAAAGAUGAAAAGAACUUUGAAAAGAGAGUUAAACAGUACGUGAAAUUGUCAGAAGGGAAGCGUUCGACACCAGUGUUGUUUUUCCGAAAAUCAAUUAAAAAUUGAUUCAUGCCAGGUUGUAUUGACCUUAUCAGCUUGCAAUUUGGUUUUGGGUCUCUCUUUUGAUGCACUUUUCGGUUAACAAGUCAACAUCAAUUUCCUUUGCUGUAAAAAGGUAAGAGGAAGGUGGCUUCAAUUUCGGUUGAAGUGUUUAUAGCCUUUUAUCUCUGCAGUCGGGGAGAUUGAGGUCUGCAGCGUAGAUCCUUCGGGGCUAGAUACAUUUAUGCUAAGUUAUAGCUUUUCAUAGACAACUUGUUGACUAUGUUUAGUCAUGUAGCUUACUCGUAAGUGCUAUUUUACCUACGCUUAGGAUGUUGAAGACUCUACAGAGAUA